CCGGCGCACGGGUGAGUAACGCGUAUGCAACCUGCCCGUUUCAGCGGGAUAACCCGGAGAAAUCCGGCCUAAUACCGCAUGUGGCCGAGGGGAGGCAUCUUCUUUCGGCCAAAGGAGGCGACUCCGGAGACGGAUGGGCAUGCGUGACAUUAGCUAGUUGGCAGGGUAACGGCCCACCAAGGCGACGAUGUCUAGGGGUUCUGAGAGGAAGGUCCCCCACACUGGUACUGAGACACGGACCAGACUCCUACGGAAGGCAGCAG
rnacentral:rRNA from 1 species